UCUAGGUUCCUCCCCCUUCUCUCAUUAUAUCUAUACUUCAAUUAUAUGUCACAUAUAUUUAACCUUGGAUUUGGGGAGAUUAGGGGGUGUUUUUGGUGAUGCCAUAGAGAGGAAGUUGAUGAGCUUGAGGAGGGCUUUCAUUUGGCACCAAUAUUGCUUGGGUUUGGAAGAGUUCAAAAUUUGGCUUAGCCUUAGGCCUUGAUUGGCUAAUCACUUUGAGGUCAUGGCAAAGAAUUGGCGGACAAUAACCCACCACCAGUUUAGUCGAGUUGAUGAACUUGACUCUUUUGUGCUUAAUGAUCUUAACCCUUUUGUUGUAAAUAAUAUUAGGGAUCAAUUUGUAUCUUCCACAUGGUUGGAAAUGGUCUUGAGACCAUUCUCUUGUAUUUUGUGGUCUCAUUAUGAUUUCAACAUCCAUGUAAAGCCUUAAGGCCAUAUUUUUGAUGUAUGACGAAUUUGCUAAAUUUUAAUGAUGUGUCGGACU